UACGAAGGGGGCUAGCGUUGCUCGGAAUCACUGGGCGUAAAGCGCACGUAGGCGGCUUGUUAAGUCAGGGGUGAAAUCCUGGAGCUCAACUCCAGAACUGCCUUUGAUACUGGCGAGCUUGAGUCCGGGAGAGGUGAGUGGAACUGCGAGUGUAGAGGUGAAAUUCGUAGAUAUUCGCAAGAACACCAGUGGCGAAGGCGGCUCACUGGCCCGGUACUGACGCUGAGGUAGCGAAAGCGUGGGGAGCAAACAGG
rnacentral:rRNA from 1 species